UGGGACCUCUGGAAACUGAGCUCCUCUUUUGACCCCAGAGGAGGUAGAGCAUGGACAGCAGCAAUGCAAGCUCCUCCCUUACCAUCACACUCUUGUGCCAGGAGGCAUCCACCUCUAUAGGGAAAAGGGAAUCUUGUCACUGUGGCCCAUUCAGUCCUCAG
rnacentral:sRNA from 1 species